AAAGUAGAACCUAAUCCAAAGAAAACUAAACAAACUGGUAAAAAGGACUGUGUCUUACCCAGAUCCUCCACCAAAAUAUAACGAUCCAAAACCAAAGCCAGUUGAAGGUCAACACAAAAAUGAUGAAGAUAAAGCACAUUCUUCAAGCAAUAAAAAAAAAGAUCAAGUUUUGUGUCCAACACACUUGGAUGAGACGUGCCCGACUCCUGACAUUGUCUACCCUACAUUAAGUU